AGCGUACACGGUGGAUGCCCUGGCAGUCAGAGGCGAUGAAGGACGUGCUAAUCUGCGAUAAGCGUCGGUGAGGUGAUAUGAACCGUUAUAACCGGCGAUUUCCGAAUGGGGAAACCCAGUGUGUUUCGACACACUAUCAUUAACUGAAUCCAUAGGUUAAUGAGGCGAACCGGGGGAACUGAAACAUCUAAGUACCCCGAGGAAAAGAAAUCAACCGAGAUUCCCCCAGUAGCGGCGAGCGAACGGGGAGGAGCCCAGAGCCUGAAUCAGUGUGUGUGUUAGUGGAAGCGUCUGGAAAGGCGUGCGAUACAGGGUGACAGCCCCGUACACAAAAAUGCACAUAUUGUGAGCUCGAUGAGUAGGGCGGGACACGUGGUAUCCUGUCUGAAUAUGGGGGGACCAUCCUCCAAGGCUAAAUACUCCUGACUGACCGAUAGUGAACCAGUACCGUGAGGGAAAGGCGAAAAGAACCCCGGCGAGGGGAGUGAAAAAGAACCUGAAACCGUGUACGUACAAGCAGUGGGAGCCUCUUAAUGGGGUGACUGCGUACCUUUUGUAUAAUGGGUCAGCGACUUAUAUUCUGUAGCAAGGUUAACCGAAUAGGGGAGCCGAAGGGAAACCGAGUCUUAACUGGGCGUUAAGUUGCAGGGUAUAGACCCGAAACCCGGUGAUCUAGCCAUGGGCAGGUUGAAGGUUGGGUAACACUAACUGGAGGACCGAACCGACUAAUGUUGAAAAAUUAGCGGAUGACUUGUGGCUGGGGGUGAAAGGCCAAUCAAACCGGGAGAUAGCUGGUUCUCCCCGAAAGCUAUUUAGGUAGCGCCUCGUGAAUUCAUCUCCGGGGGUAGAGCACUGUUUCGGCAAGGGGGUCAUCCCGACUUACCAACCCGAUGCAAACUGCGAAUACCGGAGAAUGUUAUCACGGGAGACACACGGCGGGUGCUAACGUCCGUCGUGAAGAGGGAAACAACCCAGACCGCCAGCUAAGGUCCCAAAGUCAUGGUUAAGUGGGAAACGAUGUGGGAAGGCCCAGACAGCCAGGAUGUUGGCUUAGAAGCAGCCAUCAUUUAAAGAAAGCGUAAUAGCUCACUGGUCGAGUCGGCCUGCGCGGAAGAUGUAACGGGGCUAAACCAUGCACCGAAGCUGCGGCAGCGACACUAUGUGUUGUUGGGUAGGGGAGCGUUCUGUAAGCCUGUGAAGGUGGCCUGUGAGGGUUGCUGGAGGUAUCAGAAGUGCGAAUGCUGACAUAAGUAACGAUAAAGCGGGUGAAAAGCCCGCUCGCCGGAAGACCAAGGGUUCCUGUCCAACGUUAAUCGGGGCAGGGUGAGUCGACCCCUAAGGCGAGGCCGAAAGGCGUAGUCGAUGGGAAACAGGUUAAUAUUCCUGUACUUGGUGUUACUGCGAAGGGGGGACGGAGAAGGCUAUGUUGGCCGGGCGACGGUUGUCCCGGUUUAAGCGUGUAGGCUGGUUUUCCAGGCAAAUCCGGAAAACCAAGGCUGAGGCGUGAUGACGAGGCACUACGGUGCUGAAGUGACAAAUGCCCUGCUUCCAGGAAAAGCCUCUAAGCAUCAGGUAACAUCAAAUCGUACCCCAAACCGACACAGGUGGUCAGGUAGAGAAUACCAAGGCGCUUGAGAGAACUCGGGUGAAGGAACUAGGCAAAAUGGUGCCGUAACUUCGGGAGAAGGCACGCUGAUAUGUAGGUGAAGCGACUUGCUCGUGGAGCUGAAAUCAGUCGAAGAUACCAGCUGGCUGCAACUGUUUAUUAAAAACACAGCACUGUGCAAACACGAAAGUGGACGUAUACGGUGUGACGCCUGCCCGGUGCCGGAAGGUUAAUUGAUGGGGUUAGCGGUAACGCGAAGCUCUUGAUCGAAGCCCCGGUAAACGGCGGCCGUAACUAUAACGGUCCUAAGGUAGCGAAAUUCCUUGUCGGGUAAGUUCCGACCUGCACGAAUGGCGUAAUGAUGGCCAGGCUGUCUCCACCCGAGACUCAGUGAAAUUGAACUCGCUGUGAAGAUGCAGUGUACCCGCGGCAAGACGGAAAGACCCCGUGAACCUUUACUAUAGCUUGACACUGAACAUUGAGCCUUGAUGUGUAGGAUAGGUGGGAGGCUUUGAAGUGUGGACGCCAGUCUGCAUGGAGCCGACCUUGAAAUACCACCCUUUAAUGUUUGAUGUUCUAACGUUGGCCCGUAAUCCGGGUUGCGGACAGUGUCUGGUGGGUAGUUUGACUGGGGCGGUCUCCUCCUAAAGAGUAACGGAGGAGCACGAAGGUUGGCUAAUCCUGGUCGGACAUCAGGAGGUUAGUGCAAUGGCAUAAGCCAGCUUGACUGCGAGCGUGACGGCGCGAGCAGGUGCGAAAGCAGGUCAUAGUGAUCCGGUGGUUCUGAAUGGAAGGGCCAUCGCUCAACGGAUAAAAGGUACUCCGGGGAUAACAGGCUGAUACCGCCCAAGAGUUCAUAUCGACGGCGGUGUUUGGCACCUCGAUGUCGGCUCAUCACAUCCUGGGGCUGAAGUAGGUCCCAAGGGUAUGGCUGUUCGCCAUUUAAAGUGGUACGCGAGCUGGGUUUAGAACGUCGUGAGACAGUUCGGUCCCUAUCUGCCGUGGGCGCUGGAGAACUGAGGGGGGCUGCUCCUAGUACGAGAGGACCGGAGUGGACGCAUCACUGGUGUUCGGGUUGUCAUGCCAAUGGCACUGCCCGGUAGCUAAAUGCGGAAGAGAUAAGUGCUGAAAGCAUCUAAGCACGAAACUUGCCCCGAGAUGAGUUCUCCCUGACUCCUUGA
rnacentral:rRNA from 2 species